AGCGAACGCUGGCGGCAGGCCUAACACAUGCAAGUCGAACGAACCUUUCGGGGUUAGUGGCGGACGGGUGAGUAACACGUGGGAACGUGCCUUUAGGUUCGGAAUAACUCAGGGAAACUUGUGCUAAUACCGAAUGUGCCCUUCGGGGGAAAGAUUUAUCGCCUUUAGAGCGGCCCGCGUCUGAUUAGCUAGUUGGUUGAGGUAAUGGCUCACCAAGGCGACGAUCAGUAGCUGGUCUGAGAGGAUGAUCAGCCACAUUGGGACUGAGAAACGGCCCAAACUCCUCCGGGGGGCAGCAGUGGGUAAUGUGGGGAAGGGGGCGAAAGCCUGACGCACCCAGGCCGGGUGAAUGAGGAAGGUUUUAGGAUAGAAAAAUUCUUGCGCGGGGGAGGAUAAUGACGGUACCGGGAAAAAAAGCCCCGACUAAGUUCGUG
rnacentral:rRNA from 1 species